GAGUGAAGGGGGGGGUCAGUCUGCUACUACAUAUGGACCGAGAGAGCACCAUUCAGUGGGUGUCCACAUUAGAUCUCCUGAACUUCCAUUGGACACAAACUCUUACUGAUGUGCAGAAUAAACAGUACAAUUUUUAUCUUUUUGAGGCUCUUCUUCUUGCCCGAUGAGAGGAAAGACAGAAACAGAUCUUGUCUUUCAGGCCAGUCUCUUGUAAUCCUUAGCCAUGGAAAAGAUCACUCCACAGGCAGGAAAGGCAGUAUUGUAGUGCAAGCAACCAGUUCUUCAGCCAGGCCGUGGAUAAAAAUUGAUAAAGCACCUGGCCAACAUGAACACAGAACAGGAAACUGAUAAGAAAAGGAAGCUACUGCAAACUAAAUACUGGAUGUUUCUGAUGAAAAUGUCUUUCAUUUCUACAUCUUCAGACAUGUAAUUUUCCCUUUAGCUUAAAACAUCAUGAAUGAGACUAUGGGUUUUUAUAGUUCGUAUGCACCAUCUAACCCAGUAGAACAGGCCUUAUAUGGCCUAAGGUCACCAACAUUGAGCUACUAAAAAGAGCACAGAAAAUAUGUUGUCUCCAUUGAUCGCAGCUGUAACAAUGGCAGCCCCAGUUUCUACUUUUUAUUUAAUUUCCUCUGGUAAUGAGCAUCAAGACCCUUAUCUACAACAGGUUUGUCAACUUCUGGUUGCAGUCAUUUAUCUAUCACAGUACAACUCUAGUCUUUGACUUGGCCUUGAAUAUAAUCUCUUUAAAAGUCCCUUUCUGCUAUUCUGUUGAAGUGAUAAUAAUUAAUUUAGCAGAACUAUAUACAAAUUUGGCUGAUUAAAAAGCUGCACUGUAUAUCAGAACAAAUGAGAUCAGAGCUGAAGCUAUCCAUGAUCUUUCGUAGCAGUCCUAAAGCAUUAAUGUCAAAGUACAAACAUACUGUACAGAAACAAUUAUUGGUCUGUGCACUGCUAAUAAAUCAUUGAGUAAAUAUUAUGAAUUUGUGCUAAGUUCACGAUAGCACUUCAAGUGAGGGAGUUGUGAGCAAAAGAGGAAAAAAACU